rnacentral:rRNA from 1 species
ACGCUGGCGGCACGCCUAACACAUGCAAGUCGAACGCAGUAGCAAUACUGAGUGGCAGACGGGUGAGUAACAUGUGGGAAUCUGCCUUGUGGUUCAGGACAACAUUGGGAAACCGAUGCUAAUACUGGAUAAGCCCUUACGGGGAAAGUUUUAAUGCCAUAAGAUGAGCCCGCAUUUGAUUAGUUAGUUGGUGGGGUAAUGGCUCACCAAGACAAUGAUCAAUAGCUGAUCUGAGAGGAUGAUCAGCCACACUGGGACUGAGACACGGCCCAGACUCCUACGGGAGGCAGCAGUGGGGAAUCUUGCACAAUGGAGGAAACUCUGAUGCAGCGAUGCCGCGUGAGUGAAGAAGGCCUUUGGGUUGUAAAGCUCUUUUGUAGGGGAAGAUAAUGACUGUACCCUAAGAAUAAGGUCCGGCUAACUUCGUGCCAGCAGCCGCGGUAAUACGAAGAGACCUAGCGUAGUUCGGAAUUACUGGGCGUAAAGCGCGCGUAGGCCGUUGAGUUAGUUAAUUGUGAAAUCCCAAAGCUUAACUUUGGAACUGCAAUUAAAACUGCUCGACUAGAGUUUGAUAGAGGAAAGCGGAAUACAUAGUGUAGAGGUGAAAUUCGUAGAUAUUAUGUAGAACACCAGUUGCGAAGGCGGCUUUCUGGAUCAACACUGACGCUGAGGCGCGAAAGUAUGGGUAGCAAAGAGGAUUAGAUACCCUCGUAGUCCAUACCAUAAACGAUGAUUGCUAGAUGUUGGAAAUUUAUUUUCAGUAUCGCAGCUAACGCAUUAAGCAAUCCGCCUGGGGAGUACGACCGCAAGGUUAAAACUCAAAUGAAUUGACGGGGACCCGCACAAGCGGUGGAGCAUGUGGUUUAAUUCGAAGAUACGCGCAGAACCUUACCAACCCUUGACAUGUCUGUCGCGAGUUUAGGAAACUAGACUUUUCGGUUCGGCCGGACAGACACAGUGCUGCAUGGCUGUCGUCAGCUCGUGUCGUGAGAUGUUUAAGUCCCGCACGAGCGCAACCCCUACUUUAGUUGCCAUCAGGUCAUGCUGGGCACUCUGAAAGAACUGCCAGUGAUAAGCUGGAGGAAGGUGGGGAUGACGUCAAGUCCUCAUGGCCCUUACGGGUUGGGCUACACACGUGCUACAAUGGUAGUGACAAUGAGAUGCAAGGUGGCGACGCUAAGCUAAACUCAAAAAUCUACCUCAGUUCGGAUUGCACUCUGCAACUCGAGUGCAUGAAGCUGGAAUCGCUAGUAAUCGUAGAUCAGCGUGCUACGGUGAAUACGUUCCCGGGUCUUGUACACACCGCCCGUCACACCAUGGAAGUUGGUUCUACCUUAAAGCAGAUUGCUAACCGCAAGGAGGCGUUUGACCAAGGUAUAGUCAGCGACUGGGGUG